GUGGGUAGUUUGACUGGGGCGGUCUCCUCCCAAAGAGUAACGGAGGAGCACGAAGGUUAGCUAAUCCUGGUCGGACAUCAGGAGGUUAGUGCAAUGGCAUAAGCUAGCUUGACUGCGAGCGUGACGGCGCGAGCAGGUGCGAAAGCAGGUCAUAGUGAUCCGGUGGUUCUGAAUGGAAGGGCCAUCGCUCAACGGAUAAAAGGUACUCCGGGGAUAACAGGCUGAUACCGCCCAAGAGUUCAUAUCGACGGCGGUGUUUGGCACCUCGAUGUCGGCUCAUCACAUCCUGGGGCUGAAGUAGGUCCCAAGGGUAUGGCUGUUCGCCAUUUAAAGUGGUACGCGAGCUGGGUUUAGAACGUCGUGAGACAGUUCGGUCCCUAUCUGCCGUGGGCGCUGGAGAAUUGAGGGGGGCUGCUCCUAGUACGAGAGGACCGGAGUGGACGCAUCACUGGUGUUCGGGUUGUCAUGCCAAUGGCAUUGCCCGGUAGCUAAAUGCGGAAGAGAUAAGUGCUGAAAGCAUCUAAGCACGAAACUUGCCCCGAGAUGAGUUCUCCCUGAGACUUUAAGUCUCCUGAAGGAACGUUAAAGACGAUGACGUUGAUAGGUC
rnacentral:rRNA from 1 species